CUCCUGGCACCCAUGCCCUGACCCCCUCCUCAGUCACUGUUGUUCCAGGAGCCAGCAAGCAAGAGCCUGUGCCUUAUUGAAGGGCAAAGACCUGGAAGAGACAGAUUGAAGCUGAGGAUCAGUGACGCAUCCCACCCCUCCUCUUCUGUCAGAUUCCUCUCUACUCAGCCUGGGUCUACUUGACAUGCUGCCAUGAUACAUCCACGCAGAGCACCGGCACACGGGUCCAUACACCUCCAGCCAGCAGGAGUCCUCUUGGCAUAUCCCAGGAGCACAAGAAGAGAGCACUCAUGAGAUCUGAGUCCACAGAAGGAACGUGUCAGGCCAGCACGUCCGCUCUCCUUCUUGCCAGGACUCCGCCCCUAGGCGUUCAAUUCCGAGCAACGGGAACCAUGACUCAGCGAAAACAGACCUCGGGACCGUGACUCAGCAUCACGCAGCCCCGGACCUUGACUCAGCAGAAAAGGCUCGACUUCGGCUUCCUGGUGGAUUGCUUUUUACCAGAGCAACUGUUCUUUUUUAACAAUUGUUAAUUAAACCCUGGCCUCACACGUGCUAGGCACAUACGCCGCCAUCCAGCCGCACUGACAGCCCCAGACUUUAUUAAUUAGGUGAGUCAGUUGGUAGAAUGUGUUCAUAGUAAACAAGAAGGUCUUGGAUUAGUGGCACGGGCUUGUAAUCCCAGCACUCAGUGGUAGUAAGAGGAUCAGCUCGAAGCUACCGGAGACCUUGCCUUUAAAUUAAUAAGUUAGUUUGAAACAACCAUCACCGUGUGUGUGUG
rnacentral:lncRNA from 14 species